ensembl:misc_RNA Metazoa_SRP Metazoan signal recognition particle RNA
GCCAGGUGUGGUGGUGCACACCUGUAAUCCCAGCUACUCAGGAGGCUGAGACAGGAGAAUUGCUUGAACCCGGGAGGCAGAGGUUGUAGUGAGCUGAGAUCAAGCCACUGGACUCCAGCCUGGGUGACAGAGCAAGACUUUGUCUCAA